rnacentral:rRNA from 1 species
UACAGAGGGUGCGAGCGUUAAUCGGAAUUACUGGGCGUAAAGCGUGCGUAGACGGUUAUUAAAGUCGGGUGUGAAAGCCCCGGGCUCAACCUGGGAAUUGCAUUCGAGACUGAAUAGCUAGGGUACGGUAGAGGGAAGUGGAAUUUCCGGUGUAGCGGUGAAAUGCGUAGAUAUCGGAAGGAACAUCAGUGGCGAAAGCGACUUCCUGGACCAGUACCGACGUUCAGGCACGAAAGCGUGGGGAGCAAACAGG